rnacentral:rRNA from 1 species
ACUCCUACGGGAGGCAGCAGUGGGGAAGUCUUGCGCAAUGGGCGAAAGCCUGACGCAGCCAUGCCGCGUGAAUGAUGAAGGUCUUAGGAUUGUAAAUUCUUUCACCGGGGACGAUAAUGACGGUACCCGGAGAAGAAGCCCCGGCCAACUUCGUGCCAGCAGCCGCGGUAAUACGAAGGGGGCUAGCGUUUGCUCGGAAUUUACUGGGCGUAAAGGGAGCGUAGGCGGACAUUUAAGUCAGGGUGAAAUCCCGGGGCUCAACCUCGGAAUUGCCUUUGAUACUGGGUGUCUUGAGUAUGAGAGAGGUGUGUGGAACUCCGAGUGUAGAGGUGAAAUUCGUAGAUAUUCGGAAGAACACCAGUGGCGAAGGCGACACACUGGCUCAUUACUGACGCUGAGGCUCGAAAGCGUGGGAGCAAACAGGAUUAGAUACCCUGGUAGACUGUCA